rnacentral:rRNA from 1 species
UACGAAGGGGACUAGCGUUGUUCGGAAUCACUGGGCGUAAAGCGCACGUAGGCGGAUCCGUAAGUUAGGGGUGAAAUCCCGGGGCUCAACCUCGGAACUGCCUUUGAUACUGCGGGUCUCGAGUCCGAUAGAGGUGGGUGGAAUUCCUAGUGUAGAGGUGAAAUUCGUAGAUAUUAGGAAGAACACCGGUGGCGAAGGCGGCCCACUGGAUCGGCACUGACGCUGAGGUGCGAAAGCGUGGGGAGCAAACAGG